GACGGAGGGUGCAAACGUUGCUCGGAAUUACUGGGCGUAAAGCGCGUGUAGGCGGACGUGUAAGUCAGGUGUGAAAUCCCCGGGCUCAACCCGGGAACUGCACUUGAAACUGCGCGUCUUGAGUACUGGAGAGGGUAGUGGAAUUCCUGGUGUAGAGGUGAAAUUCGUAGAUAUCAGGAGGAACACCGGUGGCGAAGGCGGCUACCUGGACAGUCACUGACGCUGAGGUGCGAAAGCGUGGGGAGCAAACAGG
rnacentral:rRNA from 1 species